GAUGAACGCUGGCGGCGUGCCUAAUACAUGCAAGUCGAGCGAACAGACGAGGAGCUUGCGCCUAUGACGUUAGCGGCGGACGGGUGAGUAACACGGGGAUAACCUACCUAUAAGAAUGGGAUAACAUCGGGAAACCGGAGCUAAUACCGGAUAAUAUAUUGAACUGGGUGGUUCACUAGUGAAAGACGGUUUUGGUGUCGCUAAUAGAUGGAUCCGCGCCGCAUUAGCUAGUUGGUAGGCUCACGGCUUACCAAGGCAGCGAUGCGUAGACGACCUCAGAGAGAGGUUGCCCACCCGGGAAGUGAGACUCGGCCCAGACUCCUGCGGGAGGCAGCAGUAGGGAAUCCUACGCAAGGGGCGAGAGCUUGACGGAGCAACGCGGCGUGAGUCAUGAAGGUCCUCGGCUGGGAAAGCUCUGUUAUUCGGGAAGAACAAAUGUGUAAGUACCCAUGCACGUAUUGACGGUACCGGAAGAAAAAGCCCCGGCUAACUACGUG
rnacentral:rRNA from 1 species